UAUUGGACAAUGGGGGGAACCCUGAUCCAGCGACGCCGCGUGAGUGAAGAAGUAUCUCGGUAUGUAAAGCUCUAUCAGCAGGGAAGAAAGAAAUGACGGUACCUGCGUAAGAAGACCCGGCUAACUACGUGCCAGCAGCCGCGGUAAUACGUAGGGGGCAAGCGUUAUCCGGAAUUACUGGGUGUAAAGGGAGCAUAGACGGUGAAGUAAGUCUGGAGUGAAAGGCGGGGGCCCAACCCCCGGACUGCUCUGGAAACUGCGGCGCUCGAGUGCCGGAGGGGCAGGCGGAAUCCCUAGUGUAGCGGUGAAAUGCGUAGAUAUUAGGAGGAACACCAGUGGCGAAGGCGGCCUGCUGGACGGCAACUGUCGUUGAGGCUCGAAAGCGUGGGGAGCAAACAGG
rnacentral:rRNA from 1 species